CGAAGAUGUUUGGCAGCAUUCGACUAUUACUGCUGGCGCUAGUGUACUUGCCUCCAUAAUUGUGGUAACUGCUAUCUGCGCAUUUUAUUUCCGCAGAAUAUACUUAGAAAAGAAACACAGACCUAUGGAACAAAUUCUUGACGAAGAAGUCAGUAUCUAUAGCCGAGUACAGUGUCACAACAGUGGACCUCAGCCGCGCAUUCUUAUAGAUAAGUGAAAACUAACUCCGAAAAUUUUAAAUCUGACUCACAGGAGGAAACUUUCGUGUUGUGCUCAAUGAACAGUGUGUUUCCAAGUACAUACAGAUGAGAUCAAAGUUACAGUUAACGUAUUCAUGAUAUAGAUUUGCACUUAAUGUGAUCUAACUCUUGCAAAGACUGUGCAUAGUCAAAAUGGAAAAAAAUAACUAUUAUUUUUUUGUUUUCAUGGUAACUGUUGUUAGAAAAUAAGCUUUAAGAGAAUUGUUUGCGUUGGAAAUAAAAGAAAUUGCUUUAAAUACUGAAAUGAUAAUGAAAAACAUCAUUAUUUUGAAUAUGUACAGGUAAGGAUUUGGAGGACCAUAUCACAUCCAUCAAUUAUGUUUCACUGAUAAACUUCAGUGACAUACGUUUUAAUCUUUUGAAAAUAUUUCAAGCGUAAAAGCAUACUAUAAGGUAUCGUAUUACAUUUUACUUUGUGAUUUCACUAUGUAUUUUAAUAUGAGUGUGUUAAAGUUAAAACGGCAGCAGAGUGCAGUAAAAAUAGCAGAUAAUACUUUGUAUCUUUCUAAAUGUAGUGUAAGGUAUACUCAAAUGAACCCCAACCAAAACUGUUUUAUUAUAUCCUACUACUUUAAAAUCAUAACUGAUGGAGAAUUUUUAUUGUGAUGCUCAACUUUAAUUCAGUAAAAUGUAACGUAUUUUGUGAAAUUGCCUGCAAUCUAGUUCAAACUUAAUUUCCACCUCAGAAAAUUCUCAAGUUCACAGAGGAAGGAAAAUAUUAGAAACUGUUCUCUAACAAUAAUCUAGAUGGAAUUAUUGUUGCCUUACAGAUUUUUCAUUUAAGUAAUGGCACUAACUCAUGACCUUUAAGAGCAAGAUUUAGCGAGAAUUCAGAAAAGGUAAAAGAGUAACUUCCGUUUCUUGAAGAAUUGCAAUCACCUUAUUUUAUUCAUUUUUAGAAUGGCUUAACAUUAGGUAACAGCUUACAAAUAGCCUUUGAAAAAUGACAUUUAUAUCAAAAGCUAUUAUAUGAAACCUUGAACUAAAAAUUGAAGAUAGUAAAUGGUAAUAUGAAGCAGAUGAUGACUUUUAAAUCUAGAGGUAGAUUCAAAUAAAACCUUCGAGUAACUGUCGGAGGAAUAGCUUUAUAGGCCCAUUUAGAGAAGAGUGAUUUAAAAAAAAAACUAAUUUUCUCUACAGACUUAAUGGAAAAGCAUAAAAUAAGUUUUAGUUGUAAAGAUACAAACUACGAUUUCUCGAAAAAUAUCCACUAAUACGAAUCAUAUUACUACUUUUAAUUCCUGGAAAAAUAAUUCCUGGAAAAAUAUCGACUAAAAUAAAUCAUAUUAGUACUUUUUAUGUAAGGAAGUCUCUGCAAAUUACUUUUUCCACUUUGGGAUUUAAUGAAUUGGGUUUCAACAAUUUCGUUUUCUUUUUGAUUGAAAAAAGGAGUUUUUCAAUAUCCCAAGAAAUGGGAUUUAAGAGAGUUUAAGACUGUGUUGAUAAAUAUAACUUUUACGAUAUGAAAUAGGUAUAAAAACAAAUUAAUAAAGCAUCCGUAAUAUUCAAAAUUGAAAGAUAAUGAAUAUUAAAAGCAAUCGAUAUACAUAUUAGUUCAUAUCUUUAAGUAGCACAUCAUAAAUAGAGUUCAGAGCUUUUAUAUUCGCAGGAGCAUGAUUUUGUUAAUAUCGUAACUGUAAAUGAUGGAAUGCCUAACCGGCCUAUUAGACCCGAUAUAAUAUCAGAAAUAUCCCUGAUUAACUAAAUACAAUGCAUGUUAAUAAAAUAGAAUAUCCAUGGUUACUUUGUGAAGGAUUUUCUAUACUUUUAUUUUCUUUGAAUAUACUGAAUAAUGUCUUCAUUUUUAACAAUAAAAUUUAUGUAAAUUUUAACAUCAGUUAAUAAAGCUUUAUGUGGCAAUUUCUCGGAAGAAAAGAUCUUAGUUAUGCUUAUUGAUGAAACUGGUAAGCACUAUCAUCAGAAUUCAUACAGAAAGAAUAAUAACUAACUUAUUAUAUGUGAAGCAAUGUGUUUAUUUUCUAUUUCAUUUCCUUGUAAGAUUUAUUAUUAGGAUUCAAAUUUAUAAGUUUACGCUUUGCUGAAUUCAGACUCAGCAGACUUUGCGACAUUUUCAAUAACGGCUGUAUAAACUUAUACACUUGCAUAUCAAGUCAUAUCUUCCGUCUCGAAAAGUAAAAUUACAAAACUUCCUAAAUUUCGGCAGAUGUAAAUUGCUUUUACUUUAGCCUUCUCUGUGUCAAAAGACGUUCAGCAUAAGAAAGGAAGAGAAAACAAAGCUACGGCACUCGACUUGUAUUAUAGAUUAAGCGGUAUAGUCUAUCUUCUGAGGUUGUCUUUACCUUCCUAAAUUUAUUCAAGGUUAAGUCAAGCAUAAUACCUGAGAAAUUUGUUGAUGUUCCUUCCAUGUGACCAACUACAAGCACAGAUAUGUCGAUUACAAAAUUCAAACUUCCUAAAUUCAAAUCUUGAAGUCACACGUUUCGGACAGUAGCUAGUCACUAUAUAGACGGAAGGCUACGCAGUGCCAAGGUCCUAUCAAAUUUAACUUUAAUUUGAUUAAAUUAACUUAAUUAACACAAAUCUUUGUUGAACAUUAAUAUAAUGAAUUUAUGGCUCGCCUUACCACAAUCUUAAAGUUACAGGUUUUACUGAUACCAUCAGAUUGAAGGCUUUCCGUUUUGAGUCUAAAUAUGCAGUAUUAUCUGCACAAAUCUGUCCUGUACUUUGCUGCCCAAGUUUGUAAAUGCGCCAGGCCUUAAAACCGUAUUUUUUGAAGCUAAAACUUCAGAACUGCAAUGCAGCACAAAGUUACCCAGCAAUGCUUUCAAGAAAUUAGGAAAGGUAUAAUACGUGAACGUCUGUAUCAAUCAGACAUCUGAUCAACUUGUGAACAUUGUGCUUUCGUGCGGAUUGCUUUGGAAUUUAAUAUUUUAAUGAUGGUGAACUAUUGUAUUGGUUGUGACUAAUAAUGUGAAAUUUUUUCUUGUGUCCGCAUGUAUUCAUUAUUAGUACCAGCUACAACCUUCCAGUUGCAAUAGUGUUCUGUCAUACUAGUGGUGGAGAUGAGAAAAAUCUUUUAGUCUCAAAGUUUCGUUUAAGACAGAUAUCAAGUAAGAAGGCUUGUAUUUCUUUCUUUGUUUUUCUUUUUGUUUCUAAUAUGUGUGUUCUGUAAUGUGACCUGGUAUUGAAAAGUUUUGUAUGUUGGACUUUAUUAAAAUCUUAA
rnacentral:lncRNA from 1 species